GAUGUUUCUAUUAAGGGUGAGGGUGUGGUGGAUUUAGGGGUUCGUGUGUCUCUCUCUUGCUCUGCAAAUUCUGAACCUGCUGCCUCGUUCAGCUGGAAGAUUAAUGAAACAGACACUGAUGUGACCACAGACACAUUCACCAUAGAUUAUACUGACUUCACACACAGUGGAGAAUACAUCUGCACAGCCUUGAAUAGUGUCACAAAGAGAAGCGCCACACAAAAACAUGCUUUACUAGUUAAAGGAGGAGGAGGAGGAGGAGGAGGGCUGUCAUCAGGGGCGAUAGCUGGGAUUGUCAUUGGGGUUUUAGUGGCAGUUGCAGGCAUUUGUGGUCUGACUGUCUAUUUAACAAAAACUAAGAAAAUCUCAAAAAUAAACCUUCGACAAAAUGGACCGGCAAGAGGAG